rnacentral:rRNA from 1 species
GUCUUUGGCCAUGCCACCCUGAAAAAGCCCAGUCUUGUCUGAUCUCGGAAGCUAAGCAGGGUCGGGCCUGGUUAGUACUUGGAUGGGAGACCACGUAGGAAGACCAGGUGCUGUAAGUG